rnacentral:lncRNA from 1 species
CUGAGCACUGCGGGACACAACGCUCUGUAAUAGGGACAAACCCAGGAGGCGCUACCGUUUCAGAGGAUCAAAGGAGACUGAAGGCAGCCCGCCAGGUUUCCACUCAGCGGCUUAGGACUAAUUCUACAUCUGGACCUUAAGGAUGGCUCUGAAGGACCAUGUGCACGGUGGGAAUGGAGCAUGGGACAGACCUUUGCCAAUCAAAGGAAACCGGUGGAGAGGGGUCACCUGCCAGCCCCAAGUAUUGGAGACAGUGAUGGCAGCCAAGGACUAAUGCCACCUCUAUGAGGAGGUAAUCUACCUGCUGGACUCCCUGCUUCGGACAUUCCUACAGAAGGGUGUGUAUGGCAUCACCACACCAUAUGAUGUGUUGACUGCAAGGGUGAAAGAACUCCUGGGACUUAUCAAAGCAAUUUUGAAAAAAACAAAAAAAAAAGGGGAUUGCCUGAUAUGUAAAUGAACUGUGGAAGUUGUUGAGAUUGUUUAAAUCACAUUGUGGCCUUGGAGUUUAUGCUGUG